rnacentral:rRNA from 1 species
AUGAACGCUGGCGGCGUGCCUAAUACAUGCAAGUCGAGCGCACAGACGAGGAGCUUGCUCCUCUGACGUUAGCGGCGGACGGGUGAGUAACACGUGGAUAACCUACCUAUAAGACUGGGAUAACUUCGGGAAACCGGAGCUAAUACCGGAUAAUAUAUUGAACCGCAUGGUUCAAUAGUGAAAGACGGUUUUGCUGUCACUUAUAGAUGGAUCCGCGCCGCAUUAGCUAGUUGGUAAGGUAACGGCUUACCAAGGCAACGAUGCGUAGCCGACCUGAGAGGGUGAUCGGCCACACUGGAACUGAGACACGGUCCAGACUCCUACGGGAGGCAGCAGUAAGGAAUCUUCCGCAAUGGGCGAAAGCUUGACGGAGCAACGCCGCGUGAGUGAUGAAGGUCUUCGGAUCGUAAAACUCUGUUAUUAGGGAAGAACAAAUGUGUAAGUAACUAUGCACGUCUUGACGGUACCUAAUCAGAAAGCCACGGCUAACUACGUG